rnacentral:rRNA from 1 species
GACGAACGCUGGCGGCGUGCUUAACACAUGCAAGUCGAGCGGUAAGGCCCUUUCGGGGGUACACGAGCGGCGAACGGGUGAGUAACACGUGGGUGACCUGCCCUCAGCUCUGGGAUAAGCCCGGGAAACUGGGUCUAAUACCGGAUAUGACUCCAUGACGCAUGUUGUGGGGUGGAAAGCCUUGUGCGGCUGAGGAUGGGCCCGCGGCCUAUCAGCUUGUUGGUGGGGUGAUGGCCUACCAAGGCGACGACGGGUAGCCGGCCUGAGAGGGCGACCGGCCACACUGGGACUGAGAUACGGCCCAGACUCCUACGGGAGGCAGCAGUGGGGAAUCUUGCGCAAUGGGCGAAAGCCUGACGCAGCGACGCCGCGUGAGGGAUGACGGCC